CCAGCAGCCGCGGUAAUUCCAGCUCUAAUAGCGUAUAUUAAAGUUGUUGCAGUUAAAAAGCUCGUAGUCGGAUGUCGGGCUCGGGGAGGCUGUCGGCCUUUGGUCGGAUGGCAUGUCCGGGCCUUUCUGCCUGGGGAUCCUACUCUACUUAACUGUAGGGUAGUGGGACGCAGGCCGUUUACUUUGAAAAAAUUAGAGUGUUCAAAGCAGGCCUACGCUUGAAUACAUUAGCAUGGAAUAAUGGAAUAGGACUUUGGUCUUAUUUGUUGGUUUAUGGGACCGAAGUAAUGAUUAACAGGGACAGUUGGGGCCGUUUAUAUUUCGUUGUCAGAGGUGAAAUUCUUGGAUUUACGAAAGAUAAACUUCUGCGAAAGCAUUCGGCAAGGAUGUUUUCAUUGAUCAAGAACGAAAGU
rnacentral:rRNA from 1 species